UACGUAGGGGGCGAGCGUUGUCCGGAUUCAUUGGGCGUAAAGAGCUCGUAGGCGGUUCGGUAAGUCAGGUGUGAAAACUCCAGGCUCAACUUGGAGACGCCACCUGAUACUGUCGUGACUAGAGUCCGGUAGGGGAGCAUGGAAUUCCUGGUGUAGCGGUGAAAUGCGCAGAUAUCAGGAGGAACACCAAUUGCGAAGGCAGCUCGCUGGGACGUAACUGACGCUGAGACGCGAAAGCGUGGGGAGCAAACAGG
rnacentral:rRNA from 1 species